rnacentral:rRNA from 1 species
CUACGGGCGGCACCAGUGGGGAAUAUUGGACAAUGGGGGAAACCCUGAUCCAGCAAUGCCGCGUGUGUGAAGAAGGCCUGCGGGUUGUAAAGCACUUUCGGUUGGGAGGACUGCUUCUAGCACUAAUAUUGUUGGAAGUUGACGUUACCUUCAGAAGAAGCGCCGGCUAACUCCGUGCCAGCAGCCGCGGUAAUACGGAGGGUGCAAGCGUUAAUCGGAAGUACUGGGCGUAAAGCGCGCGUAGGCGGCUAGAUCAGUCGGGUGUGAAAGCCCCGGGCUUAACCUGGGAACUGCAUCCGAUACUGUCUAGCUUGAGUACAGGAGAGGAGAGUGGAAUUCCACAUGUAGCGGUGAAAUGCGUAGAUAUGUGGAGGAACACCAAUGGCGAAGGCAGCUCUCUGGCCUGAUACUGACGCUGAGGUGCGAAAGCGUGGAGAGCAAACAGGAUUAGAUACCCUAGUAGUC